rnacentral:rRNA from 1 species
CUACGGGAGGCAGCAGUGGGGAAUUUUGGACAAUGGGGGAAACCCUGAUCCAGCCAUGCCGCGUGGGUGAAGAAGGCCUUCGGGUUGUAAAGCCCUUUCGGUGGGGACGAAACGGUGCGUGCUAACACCACGUACUAAUGACGGUACCCACAGAAGAAGCACCGGCUAACUACGUGCCAGCAGCCGCGGUAAUACGUAGGGUGCAGGCGUUAAUCGGAAUUACUGGGCGUAAAGCGUGCGCAGGCGGUUUGCUAAGACAGGUGUGAAAUCCCCGGGCUUAACCUGGGAACUGCGCUUGUAACUGGCAAGCUGGAGUGUGGCAGAGGGGGGUGGAAUUCCACGUGUAGCAGUGAAAUGCGUAGAGAUGUGGAGGAACACCGAUGGCGAAGGCAGCCCCCUGGGCUAACACUGACGCUCAUGCACGAAAGCGUGGGGAGCAAACAGGAUUAGAUACCCGUGUAGUCC